GUAUAGCCCUAACCUCCUAGCAUCUCUGAAAUAUGUUUGGGGGCUAUCCCUGAAACUUUUGUCACAUCCGCUAGACUUCCUUUUCCCAUCUUACAUACAUCCUCCAAAGCCAGGAAAAAGAAUGCAUCUCUCCAUGCUCUAGAGCAGCAGCUGCUGAAGGGAGACUCAUAAAUCCUCUGACAGCAUCUUUCCUUAAACAUACACCAUCACAGUUUUCAAAUUCAUUGAUGUGAGAUGAGCACAGCAAUAGCAUCAUCUCCCUUAUACUAUAUAUGAUAUUCUUUAUUGUAAAUGUUUUGCCAUAGUUUAACUUGCAGUAUUGAUGAAAGUUUUGUAAGAAAAGACAAGCACAUGCUAGUAAUGGUGUUUUAUAAUGUGGGACGAGAUUUUUCAGAAAAGUGACUUGACCAAGGAAGUGCAGCUGUAAGCAGUGUCAUCUGUCUUCUAUUUUGACCCUCAG
rnacentral:lncRNA from 1 species